GCCGGGCGUGGUGGCUCACGCUUGUAAUCCCAGCACUUUGGGAGGCCGAGAUGGGCGAAUCACUUGAGGUCAGGAGUUUGAGACCAGCCUGCCCAACAUGGUGAAACCUCAUCUCUACUAAAAACACAAUUAGCUGGGUGUUGGGGCGGGCGCCUGUAAUCCCAGCUACUCAGGAGGCUAAGGCAGGAGAAUCACUUGAACCUGGGAGGUGGAGGUUGCAGUGAGCCAAGAUUGUGUCACUGCACUCCAGCCUGGGUGACAGAGUGAGACUCUGUCUUU
rnacentral:sRNA from 1 species